AUUUAUGUAUUUGUUUUCGUGAUACAAAUUAAUUUUUCGUGCCAAAUGAUUGAAAUUUCAUAAAAAAUGAAACAAAUCGUUCCUCUGAAGUGUUUCAAAUUUUUCCCGUUCCAGUGCAAGAAGAAUUAGGAGUAUCAUUAAAAUGAAUUCAAAAAUAAGACAACGCUCGGUGUUCUGGUAAACAGCAUUUCCACUCUGUAUGAAGCUGGGGCAACGACAAAAAAAAAUUGGAGUUAGCAGGUUUUUACUCUCGUACUGUCGAUAUAAGAUUUUUUUUCACAAAGGUUUUUUUUCUGGCAUUCUCGUAAAGAACUCAAGUUAUAUCCAAGAAGUAGUAGUAUCAUUGUAUAUCAAUUCAUAUACAAUGGUAGUAUUAGAAUUUAAAAUUUAAAAAUAUAUUUUUGGAUUUAUAAAAAUGUUUUAAGUUUUGGUCUAGUCUUUAGCCUUUCAAUCGUUGUACAACGGUUUUAUUGACUAGAAUCCGCUUUAAAUGUUUAUUAAAUAUCUUAAAUAUUUUAAAUCCUUCAAACCAUAAAUUUACCCAUAAGACCAAGAUAAGCAAAUAUAUUAACCAAUUUAUUUCUUGUUUUUAUUUCAGAACCCAUAUGCAAGACCUUCAAGAGGUCACUCAGGAAGUUCAUUAUGAAAACUAUCGUUCAGAGCGUCUAGCUAAAGGCAUUAACAACAAAAAGAAUGGACCCACUAAAGAAAUCGAUCGUGAUUCGGUGCAAACUAACAAUAGCCAUUCGGACAAAGACCGAAUACUCCUUGAAAAGGAAGCAGAAUUAAGACGCAUGCAAGAAAUGCUGGCACAAAUGCAAGCCAAAAUGCAAGCCCAGCAAUAAAGCAAUGCAUUUACCAAGAGUAUUUGCAACCGAAUGCGUUGUGUAUUAGUUAUCUCCCCUUAAACAUAACUCUCAUUUAGUGCUUACAUUUAAUAUAAUUUCAUUUUUGCUUUCAUUUAGAAUUUAAAGAAAAAAAAUUAAAUAAACAAACAAAACACAUAAAUACAAUAUAUUAUAUAUUUUUAUAUGACCUUAUAUUUUAAGUUCUCAUGCACUUAUUUCAAGAAAAACAAAAAAUUAUUAAAACUACUUUUAAAUUUAAGAACAGUAUUUUUAUGGUUAUAAUUAUUAUUUUUUUUUCUCUGAAAAGAAAAAAAGAACAAAAAAAACUUUUGGUUCCAUUUAAUUUUUGGUCACCACUUAAAAUGUUGUAAAUAUUUUUGGAACAAAUAAAAAAAAUGUGUUUCGCAUGUGUAAACAAAGAAUAUUGAAGGAAAUAGCAAAUCCUAUUUAAUAACACUAUUGUAAUCAUUAUAUAUCUACAAAAAUAUGACGCAAUAUAUUGAAGUUUUUUAAUUAAAA